rnacentral:rRNA from 1 species
UACGGGGGGGGUAAGCGUUGUUCGGAAUUACUGGGCGUAAAGGGCUCGUAGGCGGCCAACUAAGUCAGACGUGAAAUCCCUCAGCUUAACUGGGGAACUGCGUCUGAUACUGGAUGGCUUGGAUCCGGGAGAGGGAUGCGGAAUUCCAGGUGUAGCGGUGAAAUGCGUAGAUAUCUGGAGGAACACCGGCGGCGAAGGCGGCAUUCUGGACUGCAACUGACACUGAAAGACGAAAGCCAGGGGAGCAAACGGG